UACGUAGGCGGGAAAUUAAGUCAGUAGUGAAAUCCCACAGCUUAACUGUGGAACUGUUAUUGAUACUGGUUUUCUUGAAUAUAGUUGAGGUAGGCGGAAUGUGUAAUGUAGCGGUGAAAUGCUUAGAUAUUACACAGAACACCGAUUGCGAAGGCAACUUACUAAGCUAUGAUUGACGCUGAGGUACGAAAGCGUGGGGAGCGAACAGGAUUAGAUACCCUGGUAGUCC
rnacentral:rRNA from 1 species